rnacentral:rRNA from 1 species
UACGGAAGGGGCAAGCGUUGUUCGGAAUCAUUGGGCGUAAAGGGCGCGUAGGUGGUUCUGUAUGUCUACCGUGAAAGCGUACGGCUCAACCGUAUUUAGUCGGUAGAAACUGCAGGACUUGAGGCUGGGAGGGGCUGGUGGAAUUCCCUGUGUAGCGGUGAAAUGCGUAGAGAUGGGGGAGAACACUCGUGGCGAAGGCGGCCAGCUAGACCAGUUCUGACACUGAGGCGCGACAGCGUGGGGAGCAAACAGG